CCUACGGGUGGCUGCAGUGGGGAAUAUUGGGCAAUGGAGGAAACUCUGACCCAGCAACGCCGCGUGAAUGAUGAAGGUCUUCGGAUUGUAAAGUUCUUUUCUAAGGGAAGAAGAAAGUGACGGUACCUUAGGAAUAAGCCUCGGCUAACUACGUGCCAGCAGCCGCGGUAAUACGGAGGAUGCGAGCGUUAUCCGGAUUUAUUGGGUUUAAAGGGUGCGCAGGCGGAUUUUUAAGUCAGCGGUCAAAUCGUGGGGCUCAACCCCAUCCAGCCGUUGAAACUGGGGAUCUAGAGUGUGCGAGAGGUAUGCGGAAUGCGUGGUGUAGCGGUGAAAUGCAGAGAUAUCACGCAGAACCCCGAUUGCGAAGGCAGCAUACCGGUGCACAACUGACGCUCAGGCACGAAAGCGUGGGUAUCGAACAGGAUUAGAUACCCCAGUAGUA
rnacentral:rRNA from 1 species